rnacentral:rRNA from 1 species
AACGAACGCUGGCGGCAUGCCUAACACAUGCAAGUCGAACGAGACCUUCGGGUCUAGUGGCGCACGGGUGCGUAACGCGUGGGAAUCUGCCCUUGGGUUCGGAAUAACAGCGAGAAAUUGCUGCUAAUACCGGAUGAUGUCUUCGGACCAAAGAUUUAUCGCCCAGGGAUGAGCCCGCGUAGGAUUAGCUAGUUGGUGGGGUAAUGGCCUACCAAGGCGACGAUCCUUAGCUGGUCUGAGAGGAUGAUCAGCCACACUGGGACUGAGACACGGCCCAGACUCCUACGGGAGGCAGCAGUGGGGAAUAUUGGACAAUGGGCGAAAGCCUGAUCCAGCAAUGCCGCGUGAGUGAUGAAGGCCUUAGGGUUGUAAAGCUCUUUUACCCGGGAUGAUAAUGACAGUACCGGGAGAAUAAGCUCCGGCUAACUCCGUGCCAGCCGCCGCCGUAACAC